rnacentral:rRNA from 1 species
GGCUCAGGAUGAACGCUGGCGGCGUGCCUAAUACAUGCAAGUCGAGCGGUAAGGCUCUCACAGUUUGCUUCUUGCGCUGUUUCGAGACAGGUCGCGGAAAUUUCUUCGAAAUUUUCGCAUCAAAAACGAAGGAGUGAAUGCGGAAUUAACUUCCUCAUAAAGAAAGAAGGAGCAAAGUGUGAGAGUACACGAGCGGCGGACGGCUGAGUAACGCGUAGGAACGUACCCCAAAGUGAGGGAUAAGCACCAGAAAUGGUGUCUAAUACCGCAUGUGCUCUUCGGAGGAAAGCUUCGGCGCUUUGGGAACGGCCUGCGCAUGAUUAGCUUGUUGGUGAGGUAAUGGCUCACCAAGGCGAUGAUCAUUAGCUGGUCUGAGAGGAUGAUCAGCCAGACUGGGACUGAGAACGGCCCAGACUCCUACGGGAGGCAGCAGUAGGGAAUUUUCCACAAUGGGCGAAAGCCUGAUGGAGCAACGCCGCGUGCAGGAUGAAGGCCUUCGGGUUGUAAACUGCUUUUAUAUGUGACGAUUAUGACGGUAGCAUAUGAAUAAGGAUCGGCUAACUCCGUGCCAGCAGCCGCGGUCAUACGGAGGAUCCAAGCGUUAUCCGGAAUUACUGGGCGUAAAGAGUUGCGUAGGUGGCAUAGUAAGUCUGUAGUGAAAGCGUCCCGCUCAACGGGAUAUACAUUAUGGAAACUGCUAAGCUAGAGGGCGAGAGAGGUUACUAGAAUUCCUUGUGUAGGAGUGAAAUCCGUAGAUAUAAGGAGGAAUACCGAUGGCGUAGGCAGGUAACUGGCUCGUCCCUGACACUAAGGCACGAAAGCGUGGGGAGCGACCGGGAUUAGAUACCCCGUUAGUCCACGCCGUAAACGAUGGAUGCUAGCUGUUAUGCGUAUCGACCCGCGUAGUAGCGAAGCUAACGCGUUAAGCAUCCCGCCUGUGGAGUACGAGCGCAAGCUUAAAACAUAAAGGAAUUGACGGGGACCCGCACAAGCGGUGGAGCGUGUUCUUUAAUUCGAUGGUAAGCGAAGAACCUUACCCAGGCUUGACAUCCUUGGAAUCUCUGCGAAAGCAGAGAGUGCCUUCGGGAAUCAAGUGACAGGUGUUGCAUGGCCGUCGUCAGCUCGUGUCGUGAGAUGUUUGGUUAAGUCCAUCAACGAGCGCAACCCUUGUGAUUAGUUGUAUUUUUCUAAUCAGACUGCCCCGGUAACGGGGAGGAAGGAGGGGAUGAUGUCAGGUCAGUAUUACCCUUACAUCUGGGGCUACAAACACGCUACAAUGGCCGGUACAAAGGGCUGCCAAGUCGCGAG